rnacentral:rRNA from 1 species
GGGGUGUAAUCGCUCAGGACGAAUGCUGGCGGCGUGCUUAACACAUGCAAGUCGAGCGGUAAGGCCUUUCGGGGUACACGAGCGGCGAACGGGUGAGUAACACGUGGGUGAUCUGCCCUGCACUUCGGGAUAAGCCUGGGAAACUGGGUCUAAUACCGGAUAUGACCUCCUAUCGCAUGGUGGGUGGUGGAAAGAUUUAUCGGUGCAGGAUGGGCCCGCGGCCUAUCAGCUUGUUGGUGGGGUAAUGGCCUACCAAGGCGACGACGGGUAGCCGACCUGAGAGGGUGACCGGCCACACUGGGACUGAGACACGGCCCAGACUCCUACGGGAGGCAGCAGUGGGGAAUAUUGCACAAUGGGCGAAAGCCUGAUGCAGCGACGCCGCGUGAGGGAUGACGGCCUUCGGGUUGUAAACCUCUUUCAGCAGGGACGAAGCGCAAGUGACGGUACCUGCAGAAGAAGCACCGGCUAACUACGUGCCAGCAGCCGCGGUAAUACGUAGGGUGCAAGCGUUGUCCGGAAUUACUGGGCGUAAAGAGUUCGUAGGCGGUUUGUCGCGUCGUUUGUGAAAACCAGCAGCUCAACUGCUGGCUUGCAGGCGAUACGGGCAGACUUGAGUACUGCAGGGGAGACUGGAAUUCCUGGUGUAGCGGUGAAAUGCGCAGAUAUCAGGAGGAACACCGGUGGCGAAGGCGGGUCUCUGGGCAGUAACUGACGCUGAGGAACGAAAGCGUGGGUAGCGAACAGGAUUAGAUACCCUGGUAGUCCACGCCGUAAACGGUGGGCGCUAGGUGUGGGUUCCUUCCACGGAAUCCGUGCCGUAGCUAACGCAUUAAGCGCCCCGCCUGGAGACCCCCACCUGUU